rnacentral:tRNA from 1 species
AGGUCAGAGGGCCGCACACCGGCUGAGCCGUACUCCAUUCCUAAACCGUGUGUCGCAGGUUCGAUUCCUGCCGGGG